GAUGAACGCUGGCGGCGUGCCUAAUACAUGCCAGUCGAGCGAACAGACGAGGAGCUUGCUCCUCUGACGUUAGCGGCGGACGGGUGAGUAACACGUGGAUAACCUACCUAUAAGACUGGGAUAACUUCGGGAAACCGGAGCUAAUACCGGAUAAUAUAUUGAACCGCAUGGUUCAAUAGUGAAAGACGGUUUUGCUGUCACUUAUAGAUGGAUCCGCGCCGCAUUAGCUAGUUGGUAAGGUAACGGCUUACCAAGGCAACGAUGCGUAGCCGACCUGAGAGGGUGAUCGGCCACACUGGAACUGAGACACGGUCCAGACUCCUACGGGAGGCAGCAGUAGGGAAUCUUCCGCAAUGGGCGAAAGCUUGACGGAGCAACGCCGCGUGUGUGAUGAAGGUCUUCGGAUCGUAAAACUCUGUUAUUAGGGAAGAACAAAUGUGUAAGUAACUAUGCACGUCUUGACGGUACCUAAUCAGAAAGCCACGGCUAACUACGUG
rnacentral:rRNA from 1 species